rnacentral:rRNA from 1 species
GAAUUCGCCCUUAGAGUUUGAUCCUGGCUCAGGACGAACGCUGGCGGCGCGCCUAACACAUGCAAGUCGAACGAGAGAUGAGGAGCUUGCUCUUCAAAUCGAGUGGCGAACGGGUGAGUAACGCGUGAGGAACCUGCCUCAAAGAGGGGGACAACAGUUGGAAACGACUGCUAAUACCGCAUAAGCCCACGGCUCGGCAUCGAGCAGGGGGAAAAGGAGCAAUCCGCUUUGAGAUGGCCUCGCGUCCGAUUAGCUAGUUGGUGAGGUAACGGCCCACCAAGGCGACGAUCGGUAGCCGGACUGAGAGGUUGAACGGCCACAUUGGGACUGAGACACGGCCCAGACUCCUACGGGAGGCAGCAGUGGGGAAUAUUGCACAAUGGGGGAAACCCUGAUGCAGCGACGCCGCGUGGAGGAAUGAAGGUCUUCGGAUUGUAAACCCCUGUCAUGUGGGAGCAAAUUAAAAAGAUAGUACCACAAGAGGAAGAGACGGCUAACUCUGUGCCAGCAGCCGCGGUAAUACAGAGGUCUCAAGCGUUGUUCGGAAUCACUGGGCGUAAAGCGUGCGUAGGCUGUUUCGUAAGUCGUGUGUGAAAGGCGCGGGCUCAACCCGCGGACGGCACAUGAUACUGCGAGACUAGAGUAAUGGAGGGGGAACCGGAAUUCUCGGUGUAGCAGUGAAAUGCGUAGAUAUCGAGAGGAACACUCGUGGCGAAGGCGGGUUCCUGGACAUUAACUGACGCUGAGGCACGAAGGCCAGGGGAGCGAAAGGGAUUAGAUACCCCUGUAGUCCUGGCAGUAAACGGUGCACGCUUGGUGUGCGGGGAAUCGACCCCCUGCGUGCCGGAACUUACGCGUUAA